rnacentral:lncRNA from 10 species
GUAGAGACAGGGUUUGGCCAUGUUGUCCAGGCUGGUCUCGAACUCCUGGCCUCAAGUGAUCCACCCAAGUUGGGAUUACAGGCAUGAGCCACCACACCUGGCCUGUAUAGCUUCUAAAGUACUUUAAAAACGAACAACACAGGUCGAGUGAGGUGGCUCGUGCCUGUAAUCCAAGCACUUUGGCAGGCCAAGGCGGGAGGAUCCCAAGUGCUAGGAUUACACGUGUGAGCUGCCGUGCCCAGCCAGUUCUUUUUUCAAAAAAUGAUUUUUCACCCCAAAUAUUUCCAAAUCCUGGGCAUUGUGCACAUUGGCUGAGGGGUCUUGGGAGGCACAUGGAUCUGGGGCUCAGAGCAGCUUUGCCACCAGCGAGGGGCCCAAUCACCUUCUCCAAGCCUCAGGGGCCAUGGUAGCACAUCACAUGCAGCACACCACGCAUAUCACAAAACAUUCUUUUAUGAGAUUGUAUGUUUAUCAGGUGUCAGAUUAUAUACAUAAUCUGACUAUAUAAUCUUUCUCUACAGACAGAUUAUAGAAAGAGAUGUAGGCAUAGAUGGAGAUAGAGAUAUAUAACAUCAGACACUGGGGCUGAUUAGAAAUAUUUUUCCUAUUUUGCAGCAAUGUUAAUUCAUUAAUCUCAGUGUCUAGAGCAGCUGGAAGAUGAAAUGCUGGCACUAAAGGGAUUUCCUGGGACAGCCGGUCCACUGUGCAGGCAGACACCACCCAAAGGCUUUCAGCU